rnacentral:misc_RNA from 1 species
CAAGUUUUCAAUAGAUAUCAUUUGGAGUUCGGAUGGAGUUUCAUCUUCUUUCCAUCUUAGCUUUAUUCUGUCUUGCUCUAAGAGGAAGUAAUGCUUCUUCACCUGCAGAGGUGUAUUGGAAGUCCAUGUUACCAAACACUUCCAUGCCCAAAGCUCUACAAGAUCUUUUACAGCCUGGAAAAGAAAUCACUAUUUCAUUUGCAGAGGAUGACUCUAUCAACUCCCAGGUAGAAUAUAACGGAAUUGACUAUCAACGUGGAUAUUGGAAUGAAUUGAGAAAUACAAGUUUCAUACAAAGUACAACCACUAUAUUCUUCUUAUAUGAUGAUCUCCUUCCUCACAAAAACAUGACCCUUAAUUUUACUAAAUCAAACAAAACCUCCAGUUUCUUGCCGAGAAAAAUUGCUGAAACCAUACCAUUUUCAAGCAAUAUGUUACCACAAAUUCUCAAAUAUUUUUCCAUAAAACCUUCGUCGAAGGAUGCUCAAAUUGCAAAACGAACAAUUAAAGAUUGUGAGGCACCAAAUAUUAGGGGAGAAAAUAAAUAUUGUGCUACAUCUUUAGAAUCACUAGUUGAUUUUGUCAUUACAAAGUUUGGGAAGAAAGUUCAGGCGCUUGCGAAUGAGGCAGAAAAGGAGAAUAAAGAACAGGAGUUUACUAUUUUAAAGGGAAUCAAAAUGAUUGGAGAUAAUCAAAUAGUGUGCCACAAGAUGAGAUAUGCAUAUGCUGUAUUUUACUGUCAUACAAUCAAUGCCACAAAGGCUUAUACGAUUCCAUUGGAAGGCGUUGAUGGCUCCAAAGCUAAAGCUGUUGCAGUUUGCCACGCAGAUACAUCAGCUUGGAACCCCAAGCAUAUUGCCUUCCAGAUCCUGAAGGUUAAGCCUGGAGGACCUCCAAUUUGUCACUUCCUUGAUAGUGAUACCAUUGUUUGGGUACCCAACUAGAUUAUGUUUAAUAAGAUGUAAUCAAAAUCAUAAUAAUGGAAUAAAUAUCUAUCUUCCAUUAUUUUGUUUAGUUAUAUAAUAAUAAUUUAAUGUAAUGGAUUGGUAAUUAUAUUAUGCAUCCAAUUACACUUUAGUUAAUGUAAUUAUUUUU